rnacentral:lncRNA from 1 species
GUUCGGCGUUCGAGAAAGGCAGGGAGCAAUUCAGCUUCCUGGAGAAGAGAACUGAGAGAAGGUGUGUUCUGGCAUGGUGGGCGAGGUGAGGCAAGGACAGGAAGCAGAGGCUCUGGAGAACCGCCCAGGGGGUGUGGAGCCUGUAGGAUGCGGUUCCGUGAGCUGGCUCCCAGUGGGGAGGAGUUGUUGCUUGGAGCUGCGCAGCUUGGGCCAAGCAUUUGCGUCUGGGAGUGCAUCUGUGAUUAGUUCUCAUCAACCCAAUGUGAGCAGAAGAGAUGUGUCUACUUCUAGGCCUGGCUCAUCAAAAAACCUCCCACGGACAAACCUUCGCGUUCUUUCCCUUGACGGAGAAGAGCACAGAGAGCUUGGAAGCCACGUGUUGAAGAUGGUGGAGCCACAAGACGGAAGGAUGCUGGGCUCCCCUAAUUGUGCUUGGCGGAACCCUCCGUCACUCAUUAGGGGUGCCAUGCUAGACUUGCUGUGAAUGAGAAAUAAACUUCUAUUGUAUUGGAGC